UACGUAGGUGGCGAGCGUUGUCCGGAUUUAUUGGGCGUAAAGGGCGCGCAGGUGGUGCGGUAAGGCUGCCGUGAAAUCUCCCGGCUCAACUGGGAGGGUGCGGUGGCGACUGCCGGACUGGAGGCACUCAGAGGCCGGUGGAAUUCCCGGUGUAGUGGUGAAAUGCGUAGAGAUCGGCAGGAACACCCAGGGGGAAACCAGCCGACUGGGCAUCUGCUGACGCUGAUGUGCGAGAGCGUGGGGAGCGAACCGG
rnacentral:rRNA from 1 species